UACGUAGGGUGCAAGCGUUGUCCGGAAUUAUUGGGCGUAAAGAGCUCGUAGGCGGUUUGUUGCGUCGGCUGUGAAAUCCCGAGGCUCAAACCUCGGGUCUGCAGUCGAUACGAGCAAACUAGAGUGUUGCAGGGGAGACUGGAAUUCCUGGUGUAGCGGUGAAAUGCGCAGAUAUCAGGAGGAACACCGGUGGCGAAGGCGGGUCUCUGGGCAAACAACUGA
rnacentral:rRNA from 1 species